GGCCGCGGGAAUUCGGCGCAGGCCUAACACAUGCAAGUCGAACGGCAGCACGGAGCUUGCUCUGGUGGAGAAUGGCGAACGGGUGAGUAAUAUAUCGGAACGUACCCUGGAGUGGGGGAUAACGUAGCGAAAGUUACGCUAAUACCGCAUACGAUCUACGGAUGAAAGUGGGGGAUCGCAAGACCUCAUGCUCGUGGAGCGGCCGAUAUCUGAUUAGCUAGUUGGUAGGGUAAAAGCCUACCAAGGCAUCGAUCAGUAGCUGGUCUGAGAGGACGACCAGCCACACUGUUGGGGGGACACGGUCCAGACUCCUACGGGAGGCAGCAGUGGGGAAUUUUGGACAAUGGGCGA
rnacentral:rRNA from 1 species